rnacentral:rRNA from 1 species
AGAACGAACGCUGGCGGCAGGCUUAAGACAUGCAAGUCGAACGCCCCGCAAGGGGAGUGGCAGACGGGUGAGUAACGCGUGGGUAUGUGCCCCAAGGUACGGAACGAACGCCGGGAAACUGGCGCUAAUACCGUAUCGUGACCGAGAGGUGAAAGGAUUUAUCGCCUUGGGAUCAGCCCGCGUUAGAUUAGCUAGUUGGUGGGGUAAAGCCUACCAAGGCGACGACGGGUAGCC